GAUGAACGCUGGCGGCGUGCUUAAUACAUGCAAGUCGAGCGAACAGAUGAGGAGCUUGCUCCUCUGACGUUAGCGGCGGACGGGUGAGUAACACGUGGAUAACCUACCUAUAAGACUGGGAUAACUUCGGGAAACCGGAGCUAAUACCGGAUAAUAUAUUGAACCGCAUGGUUCAAUAGUGAAAGACGGUUUUGCUGUCACUUAUAGAUGGAUCCGCGCCGCAUUAGCUAGUUGGUAAGGUAACGGCUUACCAAGGCAACGAUGCGUAGCCGACCUGAGAGGGUGGUCGGCCACACUGGAACUGAGACACGGUCCAGACUCCUACGGGAGGCAGCAGUAGGGAAUCUUCCGCAAUGGGCGAAAGCCUGACGGAGCAACGCCGCGUGAGUGAUGAAGGUCUUCGGAUCGUAAAACUCUGUUAUUGGGGAAGAACAAAUGUGUAAGUAACUAUGCACGUCUUGACGGUACCUAAUCAGAAAGCCACGGCUAACUACGUG
rnacentral:rRNA from 1 species